rnacentral:lncRNA from 1 species
AAGGAAGGAAGAGAGCGUGGCAUUGUGAAAGCAGUAAAGAAAUGAAGCACUGGAGAAGAUGCCGCAAGAGUGGGAGUAAGCCAUUAAUAGCAGGGAAGUGGAGCCGCACGAAAUGCUCAUCAAUUAACAUCCAGCUUCAUCCUCUCGCAUCCUCAACCAGACGCACGGCAUUGUUGUAAGCUCCAUCAAUGCCGCUUUAAUGGAGAUGAUUCCUUGACUUGCUGCUUACAUUGAUGUCAUGCUCUCCUCUCUAUUCUUUUAAUCUUCGUCUCCUCAUGGUCUCGUCUUGCAGAGAGGCUUCUCCAUGGCAGACCACCGGAGCAAUCGAACUGGAGUUCUCUCCACCACAUGCCUCCAUAAAUCCUACCUCGAGACGUCGUCAUCCUCAAAGUGAGUUCAUAAAUGCUCGAGCAUCUUGUGCAUAAAAUAAUGGUGCGACGAGCAUGCAUCAUGCAGCCUCGAGUCCUUCAAGGCUUCAGCUCUCCACCUCCUGCGUUCAUCAUAUGAUCUUUGACUUUUGGACUCUCUCAUCAAUGGCCAUUACAACCGCA